UACGUAGGCAGCGAGCGUUUGUUCGGAGUUACUGGGCGUAAAGGGUGUGUAGGCGGCCUAUUAAGUUUGGUGUGAAAUCUCCCGGCUCAACCGGGAGGGUGCGCCGAAAACUGGGAGGCUAGAGUGCGGGAUGGGAGAGUGGAAUUCCUGGUGUAGCGGUGAAAUGCGUAGAUAUCAGGAGGAACACCGGUGGCGAAGGCGACUUACUGGACAACUGUUGACGCUGAGGUGCGAAAGCGUGGGGAGCAAACAGG
rnacentral:rRNA from 1 species